UACAGAGGGUGCAAGCGUUAAUCGGAAUUACUGGGCGUAAAGCGUGCGCAGGCGGUUAUGCAAGACAGAGGGGAAAUCCCCGGGCUCAACCUGGGAACUGCCUUUGUGACUGCAUAGCUAGAGUGCGGCAGAGGGGGAUGGAAUUCCGCGUGUAGCAGUGAAAUGCGUAGAUAUGCGGAGGAACACCGAUGGCGAAGGCAAUCCCCUGGGCCUGCACUGACGCUCAUGCACGAAAGCGUGGGGAGCAAACAGG
rnacentral:rRNA from 1 species